GUCUGAACUUAGAAAGAUCAGAGCUGUUCAUCUAUCCACUUGCCUAGAAUGGGUGAGGAGGAAUCUUUCAAAUUUCUGCUAUUCCCAGAGGUGCUGGCAAGGAGGUGGAAGGGCUGACUGUCCCCUCCCCGAUGACACACUAUCCCUAGCCUGGUUCCUAGGGAGAAGUUCGUCUGCUAUUCUUCUCAUUUUAGACAUGAGGAGACUGAAGAUCCUGAACUCCUGAUAUCUUGUUCCUCUCUACUUUUUCCUAUGGUAUUUAUCACAAAUGGGCUCUCAUUAAAUAUUUGGUACAUUGAAAGGAGUGAUACUGGAUCAUUCUCAGGAGAUACAAUUCUGAUAAGAAGUGGAGUAUAAGUAGAUAAGUAUAUAUUUUUAGCCCAACAUGAAGGAGUAAAAAACGGAGGAUAAUGUGAGAGAUAUGUGAGAUUAUUUUAAUAACUCUGAGUGGUAACAAUCCAAUGUAUGUCAUUAUACUGUUUACAUUUAUGCCAUGGAGACAUAUCUAUUCUUAUUCUCCAUGACUUGCAAAGGAGUUAAUUCCGACUUUGAAAACCAAACCCAGAGGCAGAUGCUCUGAUCAAUAAAUACAGCUUUUCAGGGCA
rnacentral:lncRNA from 12 species